CCCAAGAGAUCGGGAUAACACCUGGAAACAGAUGCUAAUACCGGAUAACAACAGAUGAUGCCUAUCAACUGUUUAAAAGAUGGUUCUGCUAUCACUCUUGGAUGGACCUGCGGUGCAUUAGCUAGUUGGUAGGGUAACGGCCUGCCAAGGCAUGAUGCAUAGCCGAGUUGAGAGACUGAUCGGCUACAUUGGGACUGAGACACGGCCCAAACUCCUACGGGAGGCAGCAGCU
rnacentral:rRNA from 1 species